rnacentral:lncRNA from 1 species
CUCCACUGCUGCUAUGGCGAGUUCCGCUGUUGGAGUGGUAUCAAUCUAUGUAUUUUGAUAUUUCAUGGAUUUGGAGUGAGGUGGCUUACUGUGUGUUCUCCCACUCUAUGAUGUAUCAAAAUAUGGUUAUUGUAGAAGGUUUGGUGAUUUUGAGUAGACCAGCAAUGCUUAAAUUGUUGUAGAAUAGGUUUCUUGUUUUGAAUUGAGAGGAAUAAGAUACAUGCUUAGUUGAGAUAGGCACUGAAAAUAUUUCUCUUUAGGAAGAAAUUUUAUAAAUACAUCGGCUGUCAUAUGUGUGGUUGGUACAUAUUGUAAUUUAAUUUCUUUGGUAAGUAUCUUUUCUCUUAUGAAAUGGUAUUGUAUAUCCACAUGUUUGCUUCUAGAGUGAUAUUUUGGAUUUUCACUAAGAACAAUUAUACUUUGAUUGUGUGAGUAUAUGAUGGUUGGUGCAUGUUGAGGGAAUCUAAGUUCAUGUAAUAAUUUUCUCAACCAUAUGGCUUCAGUGGUUGCUUUUGUUAAAGCCAUGUAUUCAGAUUCUGUGGAUGACAAAGCAACAGAUUGUUGUUUCUUGUUCCUUCAAGAGAUAACUCCUCUAGCUAGUAAGAAGCAAAAGCCAGAGGUGGAGCGAUGGGUGUCCUUAUCACCUGUCCAAUAAGCAUGAGAAUAACCAUGGAGAAUAUCACCUUGAGGUAGGUGUUGAUAUUUUAUUCCAAAGAAUAAUAUGCCUUUUAUAUAUCUCAUAGUUCUUUUCAAAGUUUGAAUAUAUGUAGGUCCUGGUUUAGAGAGAUAUUGUGCUAAAAUGCUGAUAGCAUAAGCAUAAUCGAGUCUAGAAUUAACAAUAGCAUACAUUACAUUGCCAAGAACUUGAGAAUAGAGAUAAUUAGAUAAAGUAAUAUGAUCUUCAUUGCUUAAACAAAUUCUUGACUGAAUUGAGGUACUUAAUGGAUUGAAAUUCAACAUAUUGAAUUCAUUAAGUUUAUUUGUUAAGUAUUUGGCUUGUUGGAGGAUGAUCCAUCCUUCUUUUCGAUUUCUUAAUAUGGCAUUGCCUAAAGUAUAAUAGAUUUCUCCUUCAUCAAACAUAUCAAAUUCUUGCUAGAGAAUGUCUUUGACUUUUUGAAUUAAAGGAAGCUUGUUGCUGAUAAGAAUAUAGUCAUCAACAUAGACUAUAAUUAUGGUAAAAUCUUGAUUAUGUUCUCUUUUGAUGUAUAUGUUUGCAUCUGAUUUGAGACGUUGGUAUUUGUGAAGGAUUAAGUAUUGAUCUAAUCAUUGAUACCAUGCCUUAGAUGAUUGUUUAAGACCAUAUAGGGAUUUAUUUAAUUUACAUACCUUAUUAGUAUAUAUAGAAGGUAAUCCUUCAGGAAUAAUCAUAUAGAUGUCUUCUUCUAUAAAACCAUUUAAAAAGAUUGUUUUAACAUCUAGUUGAUGUAUUUCCAAAUUAUGUUUAGUGGUUAAAGCAAGAACUUUGAUAGAGUUAAGUUUGACUAUAGGAGAGUAUGUCUUUGUGUAAUCAAUAACUUGGGUAAAACCUCUAGUAACUAGCCUUGCUUUAUAUUUGUCAACACUUCCAUCAGCUUUAGUUUUGAUUUUAAAAAUCCACUUUGAACUGAUUGAUUUUUGAUUAGGAGGUAAAUUUGUCAUAUGCCAUGUAUUAUUUUUGUUUAAGGAUGUAAUUUCAGCAUUGAUUGCUUGUUGCCAUUUUUGAGCAUCAACCCUCUCCAUUGCUUCUUAAAUAGAGUUUGAAGCUUCUAUGUGAGUAGAAACAAGGUGGGCUUGGUGAUGUUGAUUACAUUGUCAUUUAUAUUCUUUUCUACCUUGUAUAAACUCCAACAAUCUUGUGGUUGGUUGAAUAAUUCUUGUUGGUCUAGAACUAGUAGGAAGAUUUGGAGCCUUCAAUGUAGAAUGUACUUCAUCAUUUGUAAGACGUAAGAUCUCUUAAUCAUUUGGUAAUGAUAGUUGAGAAAAGUCUUCUAUGACAUCAAUGUGAAAAGGAGGUUGUUCUCCCACAUUUGAAGGAAUAAUAUGUAUUGGUGAUUGAUCUAAUACAUGUGUUUCUUGUGGUAGUGACAUUGAUGUAGAAGACAUGCCUUAAAGAGAAGGGAGGAUUUACUCAUUGAUUCUUUUAGUUAUUGAAGGGUGUUUUAAUAAUUCUAAAUCUAGUAAGAGUUCUUCAUUGUGCUUUUGCAAGUAUGUGAUUGUUUUUGAAUCAUGUAGAUUUUCAUUGAAGAGAAUAUCUCUUGAAAUAAGAAUUUGCUGACUUUGUAUAUUUAUAAGUCUAUAGGCUUUAGAUUCUUCACUAUAGCCUAGAAAGAUAGCCUCUUGUGAAUGAGAGUCUAACUUCUUUCUUGUUUCUUUAGAAAUGAAUACAUGAGCUUUGCAACCAAAUAUUUUAAGGUAGGAUAAAUUUGGUUGUCGUUUGUACCAUAAUUCAAAUGGUGUUUUGGUAACUUGUACAGAUUUUGUAGGGCUCCUAUUUUGGAGGUAAUUUGCUAUUUGGAGUGCUUGAUCCCAAAAAUUUUAGGUAAGUUUGAAUAGGAUAGCAUUCCAAGUACUGAUCCUAUUAAUGUUCUAUUUUUUCUUUCAGAAACACCAUUUUGUUGUGGUAUAUAAGCUGCAAUAUAUUUUUAUUUAAUGCCUUCUUUGUUACAAAAUUUUUUAAAAUCAUUGGAUGUAUAUUUAUCUCCACGAUCAGAUCUUAAGGUUUUAAUUUUGAAACUUGUUUGUUUUCCUACAAAUUUUUUGUAUAAGGUGAAUUUUUCAAAUGCUUCAAAUUUGUAUUUCAUCAAAUAGACUUAGCAAUAUCUUCUUAGAUCAUCAAUAAAUGUGAUGAAGUAAGUACAUCCUGAAUGUGUGCCUACUUGCAUAGGUCCACAAAUGUCAGAGUGUAUAAAUUCUAACAAUUGGAUAGCUCUUUGUGCACAUUGUGUAGAAAAAUUUUCUUUAUGUUCUUUACCUUCUAUGCAAGGUUGGCAUAAGGUAUUUUUUCUUUCAUCAAAGGAAUCAAUCUCCUUUGUCAUGGUUUGUAUUUAUUUGAGUCUUUGAGGAUUUAUGUGUCCUUGUCUUAGGUGCCACAAAUUAGCUUUAUUUAAUUAUAUUGUUGCUGGAAUAGCAAUUUGAGGCUUGUUUGAAAGUAUAGAUAUACCUAAUUCAUAUAAAUCAGGGUUUAAUUUGCAUAUUCCAAUGGUUUGACCAAAUUUAUUUAUAAGUGUAGUGGUGCCAGCUCUUAUGCGAAUUUUUCCUCUUGCCUUAACUAAUUGUUUGGCAAAGAAUAAAUUCUUUACAAGUCUAAGUAUAUGUAAUAAAUCAGGUAUGAUCUUUUCAUCACCAUUUGUAAGUUUGAUAUUUACAUCACCAUGUCCUUCAAUUAUACAUGAUGUAGUAUCAUCUCCUAAGUAGACAAUUUGUUUGUCUUCACUUUUGAUGUAUUUAACAAAUCCUUCUAAUUCAUGACACAUAUGUUGAGUUGCUCCCGAGUCCACAUACCACAUUAAAUUUGGGUUUUCUUUAACUGUAAGUGUUGCCACAUAUAGUUUAUUUGUUUUGGUAGCAACAUUUGUUUCUUUUUUGUUAUUACAAUUUUUACUUGCUAUUCUUGUUCUACAAUCUUUAAUCAAGUGACCUGUUUUCUUGCAGAAAAAGCAUUUCUUAAUAGCAAAAUUACUCUUUUCAUGUGGUUUGGAGAUACUAGUCUCUCUUUGUGAAUUCCUCCUGAAAUUCUUAUUAAAAUAAGAUUUCUUAUUAUUAUUCUGAAAUUUCUUACCUACAUACAAGGCUGAAUUAUUAUCAAAUGUUAAAUUCAUGUUUCUCAUGAGUGUUUCUUCUUGGAUCAAAUCUGUUAUCAAGGAUGUUAAUGUAAUCCCAGGCUACCUUCUUAAGGAGCUAAUGAAGGAUCUAUAACUUAGAGGCAAACUUCUCAUUAAAGUGAGAAUUGCUUCAUCAUUUGGAACUUCUGAUCCUGCUGCCAACAAUUGUUCCAUAUGUGCUCUGAAGGUAUGUAUGUGUUUAAUAACACUAUCACCUUCUUUCAUUUUUAAGGUGUAUAAUUUGUCUUUUAAAUACAUCUUAGUUAUUGCAUCAUGUGAUUCAAAUAUUUUUACUAAUUCUUGCCAUGCUGAAUUUGCUCAUAUAUAAGAUUGUAUAUGUGAAACAAUAUUGUUUCCUAUGCAAUUAUUAAUUAUGGUUAAAGACAAGGUAUCCUUGUCUACCCAUGCGCUUAUACUCCCUACUCCUAUGGUAGGUAAAGCUGGGAUUCCGGCAGCAAUUUCAGCUUCCGUUGGUUCCACUGGUAAGAGUUCUUCACCACUUACUAUGGGCCAUAACUUUUCAGUCUUAAAAACUAAUAUUAGUCUAUGUUUCCAUAUGUUAAAAUAUGAACCAUUGAAUUUUGGAACAUGAUUAAUGUCCACUUUUUGUGUCAUCUUCAAUAUUCUUAAUUUGAAAUUGAAUUAUAAUUAUUUAUAAAUUUGUUUUUGAUCAAUUCAAUUUUAUCUUUGCUUAUAGUUUGUAUGUUGCCAUUUUUAGGUCUCGAAUUGCUUUUCAUGGUUUGAUGAACUUCUAGUUCUUCAUCAACCUUUGCUAUUAUAAUGAAUUGUAUUGAUAUUAUUUUCAUUAUAAACUAUUUUUGUAAUUUCAACAAUUAUUUUCUUAAUAAAGCAUUCACCAAAGCUUAUUCUAA